rnacentral:rRNA from 1 species
GACGAACGCUGGCGGCGUGCUUAACACAUGCAAGUCGAACGGAAAGGCCCUGCUUUUGUGGGGUGCUCGAGUGGCGAACGGGUGAGUAACACGUGAGUAACCUGCCCUUGACUUUGGGAUAACUUCAGGCAACUGGGGCUAAUACCGGAUAGGAGCUCCUGCUGCAUGGUGGGGGUUGGAAAGUUUCGGUGGUUGGGGAUGGACUCGCGGCUUAUCAGCUUGUUGGUGGGGUAGUGGCUUACCAAGGCUUUGACGGGUAGCCGGCCUGAGAGGGUGACCGGACAAAUUAGGACUGAGAUAAGGCACAGACCACUAAGGGAGGGAGGAGUGGGGAAUAUUGCACAAUGGGAGGAAGCAUGAUGCAGCAAAGCAGCGUGCGGGAUGACGGGAUUCGGGUUGUAAACCGAUUUCGCCUGUGACGAAGCGUGAGUGACGGUAAUGGGUAAAGAAGCACCGGCUAACUACGUG